rnacentral:lncRNA from 12 species
UGCCCCUCCCCCCACUUGUGCUCUCUCUCUUGCUCACUCUCUAUCUCUCAAAUAAGCAAAAUAAAAAAAAAAUCAUGAGUAAAUGAGGUGUAAUCUAAUCUGCUUGGAAUCGUGCAUAAACUUGCUUCUGGGUUAUGUUAGCAUAGAUUCCACGCCUAGGGAAGAGGACAGAGCAUAGCUCAUUGAGGUUAUCGCUGGCAUCUGCCUUAGAAACUGAAAAUUCAGGACCAAUAUUUAUGAAAAUGUAUGUGCUCACAGAAGUUAAGGAGCCAUGAUUUCAACCUUGGGCUAUCAAAGAAUGAUAACAGAGAGGGACACCACCUAGCUCUUCAAAGCAGAUCUCCAUAGGGGAGGAAUCCAUUAAGGGAUAAGAUCUGGCUGCAAGAAACCUUGAAUGCCUAGCACUUGAUUGAGUGUCCUUCAUAAGGAAGACGACCAUUUUUAACUCGGUGUCUGGGAGUCUGUUCCAAAACAAGAUGGAAAUCGCCGCCUGAAA